rnacentral:ncRNA from 1 species
AGGUCCCAAGGGUUGGGCUGUUCGCCCAUUAAAGCGGUACGUGAGCUGGGUUCAGACCGUCGUGAGACAGGUCGGUCUCUAUCCGCUGUGGGCGCAAGGGAUUUGAGAGGAGCUGCCCCUAGUACGAGAGGACCGGGGUGGACAGACCUCUAGUGUGCCAGUUGUUCCGCCAGGAGCAUCGCUGGGUAGCUACGUCUGGCAGGGAUAACCGCUGAAAGCAUCUAAGCGGGAAGCUCGCCUCAAGAUUAGAUCCCUCAUCCGUUUAGGAGUAAGACCGCUAGGAGACUACUAGCUUGAUAGGCGGCAUGUGUAAGUACAGUAAUGUAUUCAGCUAAGCCGUACUAAUGGUCGAGGGCUUACGAUC